AUACUUACUUGACAGGGGAGAUACCAUCAUCGUGAAAGUGGUUUUUCCAGGGUGAGACUUAUCCAUUGCAUCUGGAUAUGCUGAUCCCUGCGAUUUCUCCAAAUGUGGGAAACUUGACUGCAUAAUUUGUGGUAGUGAGGGGCUGUAUUCAUGACCUCCCCUG